CCACACGACCGUACCGCAAACCGACACUGGUGCGCGAGAUGAGUAUUCUAAGGCGCUUGAGAGAACUCAGGAGAAGGAACUCGGCAAAUUGACACCGUAACUUCGGAAGAAGGUGUGCCUUUAGUAGGUGAACCUGUACAAGGGGAGCCCAAUGAGGUUGCAAAAAAUCGGUGGCUGCGACUGUUUAAUAAAAACACAGCACUCUGCAAACACGAAAGUGGACGUAUAGGGUGUGACGCCUGCCCGGUGCUGGAAGAUUAAAUGAUGGGGUGCAAGCUCUUGAUUGAAGUCCCAGUAAACGGCGGCCGUAACUAUAACGGUCCUAAGGUAGCGAAAUUCCUUGUCGGGUAAGUUCCGACCUGCACGAAUGGCGUAACGAUGGCCACACUGUCUCCUCCUGAGACUCAGCGAAGUUGAAAUGUUUGUGAUGAUGCAAUCUCCCCGCGGAAAGACGGAAAGACCCCAUGAACCUUUACUGUAGCUUUGUAUUGGACUUUGAACAGAUCUGUGUAGGAUAGGUGGGAGGCUUUGAAGUGUGGUCGCUAGAUCGCAUGGAGCCAACGUUGAAAUACCACCCUGGUGUGUUUGAGGUUCUAACCUAGGCCCGUAAUCCGGGUCGGGGACAGUGCAUGGUAGGCAGUUUGACUGGGGCGGUCUCCUCCCAAAGCGUAACGGAGGAGUUCGAAGGUACGCUAGGUACGGUCGGACAUCGUGCUAAUAGUGCAAUGGCAUAAGCGUGCUUAACUGCGAGACUGACAAGUCGAGCAGAUGCGAAAGCAGGACAUAGUGAUCCGGUGGUUCUGUAUGGAAGGGCCAUCGCUCAACGGAUAAAAGGUACUCUGGGGAUAACAGGCUGAUACCGCCCAAGAGUUCAUAUCGACGGCGGUGUUUGGCACCUCGAUGUCGGCUCAUCUCAUCCUGGGGCUGUAGCCGGUCCCAAGGGUAUGGCUGUUCGCCAUUUAAAGAGGUACGUGAGCUGGGUUUAAAACGUCGUGAGACAGUUUGGUCCCUAUCUUCCGUGGGCGCUGCAGAUUUGAGGAAGCCUGCUCCUAGUACGAGAGGACCGGAGUGGACACACCUCUGGUGUAUCGGUUGUCACGCCAGUGGCAUUGCCGAGUAGCUAUGUGUGGAAGAGAUAACCGCUGGGAGCAUCUAAGCGGGAAACUCGUUUCAAGAUGAGAUCUGCCGGGGCCUUGAGCCCCCUAAAGAGUCGUUCAAGACCAGGACGUUGAUAGGUCGGGUGUGGAAGCGCAGUAAUGCGUUAAGCUAACCGAUACUAAUUGCUCGUGCGGCUUGACCUG
rnacentral:rRNA from 1 species